UCGACCUUACCUUGAAUAUGAUCAUUUUCGCAUGUUUCAAAGGAAAACAACCGCACACGAAAUCUUAUGACUCUCAUAGCCACUGUAAGUCAAAUACUUGUCCCACCAUAAUCAGCCAAUUUAACACGAGAACUAGGAAGCCUACGCGAACGCAAUCCUUCAAAACUUUGCAAUUUCAUCCAGAAUCUUAACCUUAAGUGGUACUAAUCAUAUGUAGUUUGCAUUAUAAUAUAAACUCAUAACGACAUAUAUAUGUAUUCGCUAAGUCCCUCAAGGCAAAGUCGUUUAACACUUAAAAACGCAUUGGCAAACAAUAGUGUGACGUCCUUUAUUCUUGUCCUCUUCCUUUAAAAAACCGUAUGCUUUAUGCUUCUCGUGACAUAAGGCUUGACAUUCUUGUAAUUUCCAUGUCCCUUUUUUGUUAUUAAAAUAAAUACCUUCACAAUAUUUUAUCGGUGCAGACUCUGAUCCUCCUGUAAUAGAUACAUAAAAUUUUAGUAGUUGUGAUUUUAUUUUUAUUUUGUAUAUAGAACAUAAAAUUCAAAUAAACUCUUUUUAUUCGGCAAAAUUGAAAACAUUUUUCAGACCAAAAAGAAAUAGGAAUUUUGAAACAUUUAUCUAAGCAAACCUAGCACAAGAAAGAUGAGAGUAGUUAAAACGGUUAGCGAGAUUUGCAAGAAUUUCCUCAUCUUGAACGAUAUAAAUAACUUUUUUUUGGAGUAUAGACAAAAUAAAA
rnacentral:lncRNA from 1 species